CUAUUGAAAAUUGGAACUAGACAAUGGCUGCAAACAGCAAGCCUCCUCGGUAGUGUAUGCAGCCUAUUGGUAUGUAUAGGCUGCCCUAAGGGACCUUGGAGACAACC
rnacentral:snoRNA from 1 species